AGAGUUUCAGGAACCCCUAGAAGGGGGUGAUAGAACUGACUGGUCCUGAGCCCUUGUUCCCCAGGCGCCGGAAGUAAAGGGGGCAGCCCUGGCCGGGAGGAGGAUGAACAGAGAGGGCUGGAGCACACUCCAGGGACUGGGCUAGACCAGUUACAAGAUGACAUUAGAUGUUGAGCCCUCCUGACCUCUUGCUUUCUCACAUUCCUUUGCCCUGUCCCUCAUGCCAGCAGCCUCUCCUGUUCCACACGCCCAGCCAAGGAGGUGUGUGGGCAGGAGCUGUGUGGUCAGCGAUCUAAUCACAGCACAGAUUUGCUGAUCUGUGAGGUUAGAGCAGUUUGAAAACUACCAUCUAGUGGUGUGAUAUUUUGAUUCAAAACACCUUGCUAUUAGAAUUAAUUUGGACUGUUUUGCUGUCAGUAAAAACACUUUGUCCUGUGUUUUGGUCCUCCGUGGGUUUUAAACUAUGGUUCUAGAUGUGAGAGAAAUGUGUUUUUAAGAUGGCUAUAAAUUGAGAAAAGGGAAAGUAACACUCAGGAAACAGUCAAAUGUGGACACAGAGUUAUUCUCAUCCACUAUGACUGUGGGUAUAAAUUGGAUAUACUCCUUUGGAGGGCAGUUUGGCAGUUUUUAAUAAAAUAAUAUGUGUGUUUCUUUGACCAGGCAAUUUGACAUCUAGGAAUUUAUACUUUGAACACAUUUAUGCCAAAUGUAUGUAUUUCCAAAAUGCACCUAUGUACAAAACCAUAUGUGUACAUGUAUAUUUUUGCAGCACUGUUUAUAAUAGUGAAAACACAUGUAAAAGUAAUAAAAUUCCAGUUGGGAAACUAGGUAAGCAAACUAUUCUAGAUUUGUAGAAGAAAAACCAUAAAAAGCUGUUAAUAAAAAUAAGAGAUCUAUUUGUACCAACAUGGAAGAAUGCCAAAAAUCUGUAAGUAAAAAAAGCAAGUUGAAGAACAAUAUGAAUUUUAUGAUACAAUUUUUAUUUAUAUUUCAUGUUAUUAAAUGUAUGCUUGUAAGAUAUUUAGAAGUACUAGUAUACAUAACAAGUAGAUAACUGGUUAUGUCUGGAUAUGGGAUUACCACAUCCUGGCUGUUCACUUCCUGUUGCAAAAUUCUGUAUGUUUGAAUUGCUUUUUAUAUUGAGCACCUAUUAGAAAAAUAAUAAACAAGGAUUUUAAAGGUGAAAUUGGUAAGAGCUCUACCAAUGACAAAAUAAUGAAAGAUCACUGAUGGUCUAGGUCUAGGAUAUAAAAAGCUGUCAGCUUCUCCUACUCCCCAAGGAAGACAAAUGGGAAGGAGGCAGCAAAGGACAAUAACUGAUUUGACAUUGGAUUCAAAAUUUAAAAUAUGAUUUUUAAAAAAGGAUUCUGAAGUUACACUAGACAUGCCUACAGAAAUGAGGUGGCAGAAACACAAUAAUGUGUCUAGGAAGUUCUACUCAACAAAACCUUACAGAGCACGUACUGUCCCUUACUGAGUUGCUAUGCUCAGGAAGGGCAACUGUUCCAGCACAUGGUAACUCUGUAUCACACGAAUAAUAAAAUAGCUACAGUGCUGAUCAGGGGCCAGGCACUUCUUUCCUAUAUGUUACAUAGAUUCACUUUCAGACUUCAUCACAGCCCUGUGA